GGUCCGCUUUGUAACGUUCCCGAUUGGACGUUCGGAGGACGUCCGCACUUGGUCCCCUUUGUAACGUUCGCUGACGGACAUUCCGAUGACGUUCGCAUUUGGUCCGCUUUGUAACGUUCGCUGACGGACAUUCCGAUAACGUUCGCAUUUGGUCCGCUUUGUAACGUUCGCUGACGGACAUUCCGAUGACGUUCGCAUUAGGUCCGCUUUGUAACGUUCGCUGACGGACAUUCCGAUGACGUUCGCAUUUGGUCCGCUUUGUAACGUUCGCUGACGGACAUUCCGAUAACGUUCGCAUUUGGUCCGCUUUGUAACGUUCGCUGACGGACAUUCCGAUGACGUUCGCAUUAGGUCCGCUUUGUAACGUUCGCUGACGGACAUUCCGAUGACGUUCGCAUUUGGUCCGCUUUGUAACGUUCGCUGACGGACAUUCUGAUGACGUUCGCAUUUGGUCCGCUUUGUAACGUUCGCUGACGGACAUUCCGAUGACGUUCGCAUUUGGUCCGCUUUGUAACGUUUGCUGACGGACAUUCCGAUGACG